GGGGAAUAUUGCGCAAUGGGGGAAACCCUGACGCAGCAAUACCGCGUGAGUGAAGAAGGUUUUCGGAUCGUAAAGCUCUGUUAUUGGGGAAGAAAAAAAGACGGUACCCAAGAAGAAAGUCCCGGCUAACUACGUGCCAGCAGCCGCGGUAAUACGUAGGGGACAAGCGUUGUCCGGAUUUACUGGGCGUAAAGGGCACGCAGGCGGUUUUUUAAGUCAGAUGUGAAAGGUACCGGCUAAACCGGUGACAUGCAUUUGAAACUGAAAGACUUGAGUUUUGGGGAGGAAAGUGAAGUUCCUAGGGGAGCGGUAAAAUGCGUAGAUAUUAGGAGGAACACCGGUGGCGAAGGCGGUUUGCUGGAAAAAUACUGCCGCGGGGGUGCGAAAGCGUGGGGAGCAAACA
rnacentral:rRNA from 1 species